UUCAUCUACUUAUACCUUGAAUAUCUGUUGGCACUUAUAAGGCCAACUUAUAAUUUUCACCAUUACCGUUAUCCAUUUUUAUGAACUUUCCGUUAUCCAUUACCGUUAUCCAUUUUUAUGAACUUUCCGUUAUCCAUUUUUAUGAACUUUCCGUUAUCCAUUUUAUGAACUUUCGCUGCCGGGUGCAAAUGUUAGCAACAUCAACAUAGUGCAGGUCCGAGCCUAGUUGUGCUGCUGACUGACUAAACUUUGUGAACUAGAAAGACACCAAGAAAACUCACUUAUUCUGUUGAACGGUAUCUUCCGUCAAUAUCAUCCACAUCAUUCCUGUUGUAUUUUAUAACGUGUCUAACAGUGUUCAUUCAGUUCAUUCAGUUGCUAGCGUUGCCUGCAGACCAGGCGAGGACACUUUGGAUCCUGAAGGUCCCGGAGACGUUAUGGCUGGGCUUUCAGUUUCUUCCCCGCGGUCGGUCCGCUUCAACCACUUCAGCAUUUUUGUUCUGGCAAGAGUCGGCGCAGCGUGUGCGGUAGCGAUUCCAUUCCAAGUCCAUAUAAUGCGGACACCGGCCGAAGAUUCUAGAACAGAAUGCGCUGCUCUGUAGCCUACGGAUGCAGGAAAUCUUUUGGUGGAGACGGUGGAGACCUCGACUGGCUAUCGUAGCCUGCAGGGAAUCGGCCGUCAGACAUUCUGUCGCAUGUCCCAGACCCGGUGAAAUGUAACUGAAUUGUCUUGGCCAGGCCUAAGGGUCCCAUCUGCAUCUCAUCAUUGCUGAGGAGUGUGCUCCCAUCACCCAAUCAAGCAUCCAGCCAGAGCAGGUCAUGAUAUAUUUUUUACCAUAUUAACAUGCCAUUGUGUGUUAUGCCUGAUGUAAAGACUCUCGUCUCUGCGAGCCUACCACACAGAUUUAAUACUUGUCAUUUUUAGGGCAUACCUAACAACGUGUUUUCUUUCUCUCUCUCUCUCUCUCUUUCUCCCCCCUCCCCCCCCCCCCCCCCCAUCUGUCCCUCUGAGUUACAUGUUGAUCCUGGGAUUGAGAUGCUGGCCUCUUCUGCCCCUCGGACCUGCUUGAUCCAUCCUGGUGCGCUGUGUCUGGUCGGAGUUUUAUCGCCCCACUCCUGUGAAGGACGGCCCCAUGAGGACAGUUGAGGGUUAUACCUGUUAAAACUGUUAAUAUUAUAGUCAGGCUGUCUGUUGUUGCCCAAAUGAGGAUGGGUUCCCUUUUGAGUCUGGUUCCUCUCGAGGUUUCUUCCUCAUGUCGUCUGAGGGAGUUUUUCCUUGCCACCGUCGCCACAGGCUUGCUCAUUGGGGAUAGAUUAGGGAUAAAAUUAGCUCAUGUUUUAAGUCGUUCAAAUUCUGUAAAGCUGCUUUGCGACAAUGUUUAUUGUUAAAAGCGCUGUACAAAUAAACUUGAUUUGAUUUGAUUUGAUGUAUUUUUCGCUGUUAACGUUUUAAAAUUAAAAUUGACAAAUUAGGUGAAUGUCUACGUAUGUGUUACGGCUUUGUAAAUAAUAUUAAUGUAGAACUUUUUUUCUAGAUCUAUUUUUUUCCAUUGUCCCGGGAUUGUCCCAGAUAUGAUAAUUUUGUGUCCCGAUGACAUUUUUUAUGGUCCCCGGGACGUCGGGACACCGUUAGUUUCGAGCGCUGAGUUCAUGUGAGAAAAUCCACCAGCAUCCCAGAGUUGAAGCUGUUCUGUACAGAGGAAUGGGCUAAAAUUCCUCCAAGCCGGUGUGCAGGACUGAUCAACAGUUACCGCAAAUGUUUAGUUGCAGUUAUUGCUGCACAAGGGGGUCACACCAGAUACUGAAAGCAAAGGUUCACAUACUUUUGCCACUCACAUAUGUAAUACUGGAUCAUUUUCCUCAAUAAAUAAAUGACCAAGUAUAAUA